GACGAACGCUGGCGGCGUGCCUAACACAUGCAAAGGUCGAACGGGGGUNUCGGGAGCUUGCUCCUGACACUUAGUGGCGAACGGGUGAGUAACGCGUGAGAAACCUGCCUCUCAGUGGGGGACAACAGUUGGAAACGACUGCUAAUACCGCAUAAUGUAUUCGGAGGGCAUCCUCUGAAUACCAAAGCUUUAUGUGCUGAGAGAUGGUCUCGCGUCUGAUUAGCUAGAUGGCGGGGUAACGGCCCACCAUGGCGACGAUCAGUAGCCGGUCUGAGAGGAUGAACGGCCACAUUGGGACUGAGAUACGGCCCAGACUCCUACGGGAGGCAGCAGUGGGGAAUAUUGGGCAAUGGGCGAAAGCCUGACCCAGCAACGCCGCGUGAAGGAAGAAGGCCUUCGGGUUGUAAACUUCUUUACCAGGGACGAAAUCUGACGGUACCUGGAGAAAAAGCAACGGCUAACUACGUG
rnacentral:rRNA from 1 species